CCAGCCACAAAACAGACGCCUUCACUGGAUUGCUGCUCAUAUCCUUCCUACUGUCACCUGUGGAAGCUCUCCCCUGCUGCUUUGCUCUUCUUCUUCUGUAGCUGAUUGCUUGCUUUGGGUUCUUAUCGCGCCUGCCACGCGAUCGGCGCUUCGCUCUUCCACUACUGUCUGCAACUCCAGAUAUCGUUCUAGUUUUACUUGCGUAAUUCUGGAAAGGGGACAUAGCUCGUUUGUGAUCUUUUCUUGAUGCAAAUAUCUUGAAAGACAGGAGAUUCACAAAACGGUUUGUCUUGUCGCCCUGGUGCCGACAUCUAAACUCCUCUUCACUAGGCAGCAAAAGCUUCUCCAGGAUAUAUGUAUGCGCUUGCAUUCCCAAUUUCCCAGACAACAUUUAGAGCUAAAAAAGACUAGAACACUUGAUAGAGGAGAACGAAGCUGCUUGGUUGAACAGACCGCAAGCAGGAUGGAGAU